GUGUAUUCUACAGUGCAUGUGUCUCCAGUCAUAUAGAGGCACUGGGGAUACAGCUCUGUUGGAAUAAC
rfam:Xenopus tropicalis strain Nigerian Chr02_contig_4578, whole genome shotgun sequence.